CUUAUGGAAGCGUUUAUUCCAACUCUUAAGUCUCCUUAUAAACGUAGUCAAAACAGAGAUCACUUUGAACGAUGACUUAUACAGAGUUAUAAAAAGCUAAACUUUAUUAAACACCAGAUGUUCAUGGAGGUCACUUAGAAUCACAAGUGCACACAUACUAAUGGAACAAGUAUGUCGCAAUAAUAUCUGUAAUAAAUAUAUCUGCAGAUCUAGUCUUCCGAAAGAGCUUGAUGUGUCAACAUUUAUUGUUUACAGAUUAAAAAAGUGAAUUGAUGAAAAAGCUAUAAAAGAACAUUUUUUAUCACACACAGUGUAAUGCCAGUGACAGUUUAUAAUUGUUAAUGUGAAAAUUUUAUAUGAUUCUGGAGUUUUAUCGAAUCUACUGAUAAUUCUUGAUAAAUUUUUUCGUAAAGUGAUGCAUCCAAAAAAUUAAUUAUCGCUUUUCUUCUUUUAAAAUUCACCGAUUUUAUUAUGUUGCCAGUACGUUUCCUUAAUUAAUAAGAACAAGAAUAAUUAUGAUAAUAAUUGUACGUGUAAUAUAUUGAUAUUAAUUCAUUUUUCUUUAUAUCUAUUGAUAUUAAUUCACUAUUCUUUAUACCUUCCGUAUAGAAUGUGUAUUAUUAUGUAUCUCUUAUACAUUGUACUUAUAUCAUAUGUCCAUUAUUGAAAAAAAUCUUACAUUGACAGGCUCGUAAUAUGGAAAACAAAGAAAAAUAAAAAACAGUUAAGUGUUAUGGUUUAUAUGUUCCUCUGCGUACAUUAUUGUGUUAUAUCAACAUUAAGCAAGAGGAUACAACAAAAUGGAAUUGCAAGAAAAAUUCGCUUUUGCAAAAAAAAAUCCAAUUUAUGAUACUAUUCCUUUAAUUAUUAUUGAUAAAACGGGAAAGAAAUAUUCCGAAGGUCUGUGUAUAAAGUUUUAUUACCCAUCUCAAUUUUACCUUUUUUUCGUAAAAAUGAUACAAAUGUAUAGUUAUAAGAUUUAACAGCUUUUUUAUUCGAAAAGAGUAAUAGUUUAAAGUUACGUAAGCAGAAUAUUAGUAUUUGUACAGACCAUUCUAUAAAUAAUAAUACAACACACAUAUACAGUGAUAUAAGUACUUCAUAAAUAUGUAAUUUCUAUAUCACAGAAAUAAAGCACACACAGGUCUUAAAAUAUUGAUAAUAUUAAAAUACAUUAAUAUUACGUUUAUUAUUUUAGACAAAAUAGAGAGUCAAAGAUAUUACGUUUCUAGUCCAUUUUGGAUGAAAUUCCGUUUAUUAUUAUUUUGGAUAUUUUGGGCUCUAUUAAUAAUGGCGAUGAUAAUCUCUUUUCUUACAUAUUUUUGUUUCACACCUCGAAUGUGCCAUAAUUCAAAUAUACACAGAAAAAUACACGAAUGAGGAAAACAUCAUCUCGUCAGAUAAAAAUGCAAUAACGCAUGAUAACUUGGAUUAUAUGUUUACAUGCUAUAUUCAUAUUUCACAAAACUCUUCACAGUACCAGUAGUAAUUUCAAAAUCAUUAACAAUAUAAUAAACAAGAAAUAUAAUACAUUUAGCUAAUAAAAAAGUAUUUCAAUAAAUUAAAUAUUGUAUACUACUGUUAUUGUAUAUUAUAUAUAUUAUUUUAGUGUAUAAUUUUACAGCAGAUUAUAACUUUACAUAUUCUUCAACAUUUACCUUUUAUUUACAAUACAAUUUAUGUUAUAUUACAGAAAA